CUUACCUACGGGAGGCAGCAGUAGGGAAUCUUCCACAAUGGACGAAAGUCUGAUGGAGCAACGCCGCGUGAGUGAAGAAGGGUUUCGGCUCGUAAAGCUCUGUUGGUAGUGAAGAAAGAUAGAGGUAGUAACUGGCCUUUAUUUGACGGUAAUUACUUAGAAAGUCACGGCUAACUACGUGCCAGCAGCCGCGGUAAUACAUAGGUGGCAAGCGUUGUCCGGAUUUAUUGGGCGUAAAGCGAGUGCAGGCGGGUCAAUAAGUCUGAUGUGAAAGCCUUCGGCUCAACCGGAGAAAUGCCUCAGAA
rnacentral:rRNA from 1 species